rnacentral:lncRNA from 1 species
CCGAAGGAGGUACUUCUGGUUUCUUUCCUUUUCUGGCAAAACUAGUCUCUGGAAGUAGCUGUGUGUUGUCCCUGUUCUUGAGGAAAGUGCAGUAUUGCCUUUGAACCUUCCUCUUAUGAGUUCUGGUUAGCUCCAGAGUUGGUCUACCACUUGUCCCUAUAGAAUACCAUCUGCCCUCUAUGAUAACUGCUAAGGGUUUC